GAUGAACGCUGGCGGCGUGCUUAACACAUGCAAGUCGAACGGAAAGGCCCAAGCUUGCUUGGGUACUCGAGUGGCGAUCGGGUGAGUAACACGUGGGUGAUCUGCCCUGCACUUCGGGAUAAGCCUGGGAAACUGGGUCUAAUACCGGAUAGGACCACAUUUUGGAUGGUGUGGUGGAAAGUUUUUCGGUGUGGGAUGAGCUCGCGGCCUAUCAGCUUGUUGGUGGGGUAAUGGCCUACCAAGGCGUCGACGGGUAGCCGGCCUGAGAGGGUGUACGGCCACAUUGGGACUGAGAUACGGCCCAGACUCCUACGGGAGGCAGCAGUGGGGAAUAUUGCACAAUGGGCGCAAGCCUGAUGCAGCGACGCCGCGUGGGGGAUGACGGCCUUCGGGUUGUAAACUCCGUUCGCUAGGGACGAAGCGUUAUGUGACGGUACCUGGAGAAGAAGCACCGGCUAACUACGUG
rnacentral:rRNA from 1 species